GUGAAUCAUCGAAUUUUUGAACGCAAAUUGCACUCUCUUCGGAGAGUAAGCCUGUGUGAGGGUCAGCCUAAAAAAAAUCGACAUAGUUGCUGUUACGCGGGAAUAUUGGUCGGAAAUUGGGUCAUCUUAAACCUUUGGGGGUAAGGGGCUUAAAUUUUUCUUUACGAUUCCAAGAACGUUUCUAAGAUUGUAUCUUCGUAGACGUUUAGGGUAUUGAU
rnacentral:misc_RNA from 1 species